GAUGAACGCUAGCGGCAGGCUUAACACAUGCAAGUCGAGGGGUAGGAGAAGCUUGCUUUUCUGAGACCGGCGCACGGGUGCGUAACGCGUAUGCAAUCUACCUUUCACAGAGGGAUAGCCCAGAGAAAUUUGGAUUAAUACCUCAUAGUAAUACGACUUGGCAUCAAGAUGUAUUUAAAGAUUUAUCGGUGAAAGAUGAGCAUGCGUCCCAUUAGCUAGUUGGUAUGGUAACGGCAUACCAAGGCAACGAUGGGUAGGGGUCCUGAGAGGGAGAUCCCCCACACUGGUACUGAGACACGGACCAGACUCCUACGGGAGGCAGCAGUGAGGAAUAUUGGACAAUGGGCGCAAGCCUGAUCCAGCCAUGCCGCGUGCAGGAUGACGGUCCUAUGGAUUGUAAACUGCUUUUAUACAGGAAGAAACACCUCUACGUGUAGAGACUUGACGGUACUGUAAGAAUAAGGAUCGGCUAACUCCGUGCCAGCAGCCGCGGUAAUACGGAGGAUCCAAGCGUUAUCCGGAAUCAUUGGGUUUAAAGGGUCCGUAGGCGGUCAGGUAAGUCAGUGGUGAAAGCCCAUCGCUCAACGGUGGAACGGCCAUUGAUACUGUCUGACUUGAAUUAUUAGGAAGUAACUAGAAUAUGUAGUGUAGCGGUGAAAUGCUUAGAGAUUACAUGGAAUACCAAUUGCGAAGGCAGGUUACUACUAAUUGAUUGACGCUGAUGGACGAAAGCGUGGGUAGCGAACAGGAUUAGAUACCCUGGUAGUCCACGCCGUAAACGAUGGAUACUAGCUGUUGGGAGCAAUCUCAGUGGCUAAGCGAAAGUGAUAAGUAUCCCACCUGGGGAGUACGAACGCAAGUUUGAAACUCAAAGGAAUUGACGGGGGCCCGCACAAGCGGUGGAGCAUGUGGUUUAAUUCGAUGAUACGCGAGGAACCUUACCAAGGCUUAAAUGUAGAUUGACCGGUUGGAAACAG
rnacentral:rRNA from 1 species